rnacentral:rRNA from 1 species
AGUGAACGCUGGCGGUAGGCCUAACACAUGCAAGUCGAACGGCAGCACAGUAAGAGCUUGCUCUUACGGGUGGCGAGUGGCGGACGGGUGAGGAAUACAUCGGAAUCUACUUUUUCGUGGGGGAUAACGUAGUGAAACUUGCGCUAAUACCGCAUACGACCUACGGGUGAAAGCAGGGGAUCUUCGGACCUUGCGCGAUUGAAUGAGCCGAUGUCGGAUUAGCUAGUUGGCGGGGUAAAGGCCCACCAAGGCGACGAUCCGUAGCUGGUCUGAGAGGAUGAUCAGCCACACUGGAACUGAGACACGGUCCAGACUCCUACGGGAGGCAGCAGUGGGGAAUAUUGGACAAUGGGCGCAAGCCUGAUCCAGCCAUACCGCGUGGGUGAAGAAGGCCUUCGGGUUGUAAAGCCCUUUUGUUGGGAAAGAAAAGCAGCAGGUUAAUACCCCGCUGUUCUGACGGUACCCAAAGAAUAAGCACCGGCUAACUUCGUG